rnacentral:misc_RNA from 1 species
GAAAUGCGAUAAGUAGUGUGAAUUGCAGAAUUCAGUGAAUCAUCGAAUCUUUGAACGCACAUUGCGCCCUUUGGUAUUCCUUAGAGCAUGCCUGUUCGAGCGUCAUCUAAACCUUCAAGCCCUGCUUGGUGUUGGGUGCCUGUCCCGCCUCCGCGCGCGGACUCACCUCAAAUCCAUUGGCGGCCCCCGCGUCGGCCACGAGCGCAGCAGAAACGCGAACUCGUGAGCCCGUCCGGGCGGCUCCCAGAAGCUACACCCACCCAGUUUGACCUCGGAUCAGGUAGGGAUACCCGCUGAACUUAAGC